rnacentral:rRNA from 1 species
CAACGCGAAGAACCUUACCUGGUCUUGACAUCCACGGAAGUUUUCAGAGAUGAGAAUGUGCCUUCGGGAACCGUGAAACAGGUGCUGCAUGGCUGUCGUCAGCUCGUGUUGUGAAAUGUUGGGUUAAGUCCCGCAACGAGCGCAACCCUUAUCCUUUGUUGCCAGCGGUCCGGCCGGGAACUCAAAGGAGACUGCCAGUGAUAAACUGGAGGAAGGUGGGGAUGACGUCAAGUCAUCAUGGCCCUUACGACCAGGGCUACACACGUGCUACAAUGGCGCAUACAAAGAGAAGCGACCUCGCGAGAGCAAGCGGACCUCAUAAAGUGCGUCGUAGUCCGGAUUGGAGUCUGCAACUCGACUCCAUGAAGUCGGAAUCGCUAGUAAUCGUGGAUCAGAAUGCCACGGUGAAUACGUUCCCGGGCCUUGUACACACCGCCCG